GAGACCCCGUGGCUAUCGCGGGCCUCUCAGGGAGUGCCUGCUAGCGGCUAGGGGCGCUAUGACCACCGCCCGGGCCAAUUUCCCAUUUAAAUGCUCUUUUGGUGGCCAAGUUCAAUGAAAGAGUUUAAUCCCCCUAGGGAAUAAAACCUUGAAACACCCUGUGUCUAAACAGGAACGGGUUGUAAUAGAUGGGUUGCUAAUGCUUCUGUUAUAUCUUGACUGCAAAUCUAUCCCACCUAAAUUGACUUUACCUGGAGUUGUAGUUGGAAGUUCUCAUGAAAAAUUAAAUUGGCUGGAGAAAAUGAGACUGAGCACUUCGUGUGUCUGUGAGCACUAUGAAGGAUCAAACUGUUAUCUUUCCUACAUGGUACAGAGCUGUGCAUCUUGGCACUGAAAAGUUUAAGGUUUCAGGCAGUUUGUAAGCCUUUCCAAAACCCGAACCUGAACUGAGAAGGGACUGAAGUGUUUUUGAGGUUAUCUGGGCUGAAAAAAUACUGCAAAUUUGUGAUACUUCCCUGAGCAAGUAGGUCUGUUGUUACAGAAUGUCCAUAGAUAAGUCUGGGUAUUGCUUCCUUUAUUCAGAGAUUUGUUUUAUGUAAAAAUGCCUGUGAAUAUAUUUAAGUAAAGGGUACCGAAACAACUAGCUCUAAAAUUCACAAAGAAAAGCUCUGUGAUGUCAGAACUGUCUGGGAUACCGUCCUUCAGCCUCUACCACUUAUACUGAGAAAGUCUGAAGCAAGGAAGAGGUCCCCAUGGCGAAGCAGAAUCAGGUUAAAGGAAUUGUUCACAUGGAAAACUGCUGGACCUGAUGGGAUGUUCCUAAGUGCGAAAAAUGUUCGGAAUUUGAAAAAAUGAUCUACCAUGCUUCAGUCCACAUCACCUAUCCUGAUGCUAGGCGGAAGAAAAUUAAAAGCAUCAUCCCAGAAUAUAAGAAAAAAAUCUGGAAAAGGUUUUCGAUAAAUUUGCAACAUAUCCAAUAUGUUGUAAGAAGAGAAGUUGGCAGUCAAGAAAAACACCUAUGGAAAACCAGUUAUUAUUUUGUCUCAUCCCCCCACAUACGCUACUGGUAAAGUACAAAUAAAAAUUUACGCAGAGAUUUGACUGACUGGAUUUUCUUGCUAUAGCCACCCUGUCAACAUCAGCAAUUCCAGUAACACUUUAUUCAAGAAUGUGAACAAGCUCAUUUAAAGGAGAAGAAGCUUGAAAGAGACUGAUACCACCCCUGUGCUACUGUAGGCAAUUAAACCGGUAACAUGACCUCAAGGACAGAAGUGACAGUGGUUUGGUUUCGAGCUUCAUUAUCUUGCAAACUGACCCCUGCAAUAUUGUCAAGGCUAACUAAAAAAGGAG